GCUUACGGCCAUACCAGCCUGGGUACGCCCGAACUCGUCUGAUCUCGGAAGCUAAGCAGGGUCGGGCCUGGUUAGUACUUGGAUGGGAGACCGCCUGGGAAUACCAGGUGCUGUAAGCA
rnacentral:rRNA from 1 species